CUUCGCUUCCUUUUCAUGCUCGGUAUAUAUCAAGUACUUUUGCUACUUAUAAGUCAGUAAUUAAACACAUAUAACCAGUUAAUGUGACAGAUUACUACAUCAAUAAUGUAUUUAGUGUGUUUAGCGACUAUAACGGUUAGAUUGAUUGGAUUAUGAUCAAAGAGCUAGCAUAUCCUCCAAAAAUAUAUAUAUUUUUUAUGAAUAUAUGUCGUUGCAUUUAUACAGAAUCAAUAUUCAUUUACCAACUGAACCCUUACAGUAUUAUUGGUACCAAUAGCAGAAGAUAUAAUGAAGAGAAGCAAAUGUGUGCUAUGUUGUCAUGCAGUGUGGGUGGAGAAGCAGGCAAGUAGGGCCAAGGAAGUUCAAUUUCAACAUUCAACCGACAUUGAAGUGUUAAUUGGCAGAGAUAUUCUGGUGCUCUCUUAAAGCUUGCGUCGAUAUGGGUAGAAAGUGAAAAGUUGUCGUUAGCUGUUCAGGAGCAGCGGCGAUGAAAUUUGUUUUAUUCUUCUCGUUUGAUUGGUUGGAAGGCGUACGAGUUUUUGACAUUCGAAUGCUUGAUGUAAUUCUCGUAGGCACUUUCUUUUGUCUUACCACACCCAUUAGACCUACUCGCACAAUGGUAGUGACAGUGGCGCCAGGGCCCAGAAUGGUGGUAAAUAGGGCAGGAAACAUGAUAAUGGCAUGUAGCAAAUGGAUGGUUUUUCAUGUGAAACUAUGACAACUUUUGCAUUUAACAGGUCUCGCAGAGCAGUAGAAGCAUAUUAUAUGGGCAUGUCAUGAAGUAGCAUUCCUCGUUAUCCGUUGCUUUCCACUUCGUUGCAUUCAUUUACUGCCACCCAUAAGCAUAUUUCGUGGGCUUGUUUAACUAAUCAAAUUGUUUAACCCUGAUUGAGCAUCAUUACGCCUUUUUUGGCAAUGCGCGCGCGCGCGCGCACACAUAUAUAGACCUUAAGUAAGCAUGGAAGGACACUAAUAGCAUUUCUCAAUCAAGUCUGUAUUUCCCAUUUCAAGUUUUAACAGUUAUUACUUCAAAAAAAAAAAGUUUUAACAGUUAGAGAAAUCCAUUAAAUGAUGAGAAAGCAAAAGGAAGGC